rnacentral:rRNA from 1 species
UACGGAGGGUGCAACCGUUGCUCGGAAUCAUUGGGCGUAAAGCGCACGUAGGCGGCCCAGCAAGUCGGGUGUGAAAGCCCUCGGCUCAACCGAGGAAGUGCAUUCGAAACUACUGGGCUUGAAUACUGGAGAGGAUCGCGGAAUUCCCGGUGUAGAGGUGAAAUUCGUAGAUAUCGGGAGGAACACCAGUGGCGAAGGCGGCGAUCUGGACAGAUAUUGACGCUGAGGUGCGAAAGCGUGGGGAGCAAACAGG